rnacentral:tRNA from 1 species
GGGGUUGUAGCACAGGGGUAGAGCGCUUGCCUAGCAUGUAUGAGGCACUCAAUUCUCAGCACCG